UAGAGGUCCGCCUGCCUGUGACUAUAUGUUUAACGGCCGCGGUAUUUUGACCGUGCGAAGGUAGCGCAAUCACUUGUCUUUUAAAUGGAGACCUGUAUGAAUGGCAUAACGAGGGCUUAACUGUCUCCUCUUUCAAGUCAAUGAAAUUGAUCUCCCCGUGCAGAAGCGGGGAUGAGCCCAUAAGACGAGAAGACCCUAUGGAGCUUUAGACACUAAAGCAGAUCACGUUAAAACCCCCUGUUCAAGGGCAUAAACAAGGUGAGACCUGCCCUAAUGUCUUUGGUUGGGGCGACCGCGGGGAAUAUAAAACCCCCAUGUGGACCGGGGUAAUUUACCCUCAACCAAGAGCUCCCGCUCUAAGUACCAGAAUUUCUGACCAAACAGAUCCGGCAGCGCCGAUCAACGGACCGAGUUACCCUAGGGAUAACAGCGCAAUCCCCUUUUAGAGUUCAUAUCGACAAGGGGGUUUACGACCUCGAUGUUGGAUCAGGACAUCCUAAUGGUGCAGCCGCUAUUAAGGGUUCGUUUGUUCAACGAUUAAAGUCCUACGUGAUCUG
rnacentral:rRNA from 1 species